rnacentral:rRNA from 1 species
CACGGGGGGGAGCAAGCGUUGUUCGGAUUCAUUGGGCGUAAAGGGCUCGUAGGCCGCUCUGUAAGUCGGAAGUGAAAGACCACGGCUCAACCGUGGAACCGCUUUCGAAACUGCGGAGCUUGAGGCCGGGAGAGGAGAUUGGAAUUCCUGGUGUAGACGGUGAAAUGCGUAGAUAUCAGGAGGAACACCCGUGGCGAAGGCGAAUCUCUGGACCGGUUCUGACGCGUGAUGAGCGAAAGCUGAGGGGA